rnacentral:tRNA from 1 species
GGUCUUAUAGUGUAGUGGUUAACACGUGGAGCGUACCCCUCCGAGACCUAGGUUCGAUUCCUAGUAAGACCC